AAAGAGUUCAUUCAGGUUUUCCAUAAGAUGGUACACAAUAACCUGAAUGAACUUUUUGG
ensembl:miRNA